UACAGAGGUCCCAAGCGUUGUUCGGAUUCACUGGGCGUAAAGGGUGCGUAGGCGGUCGGGUAAGUCUGAUGUGAAAUCUCACAGCUUAACUGUGAAACUGCAUUGGAUACUAUCCGGCUCGAGGAAUGGAGGGGAGACUGGAAUACUUGGUGUAGCAGUGAAAUGCGUAGAUAUCAAGUGGAACACCAGUGGCGAAGGCGAGUCUCUGGACAUUUCCUGACGCUGAGGCGCGAAAGCGUGGGGAGCAAACAGG
rnacentral:rRNA from 1 species